GCCGAUGAUGUUUUCAAUCCAACGUGUCUGAGGUUGUAGUGUACCCAAGUUCCUGUUUUUUCAGGGAGAACCUACUUGGUGUUGCUACAAGUCAAUGACAUCAAAGACUAAGACUGAGGU